AUUGAACGCUGGCGGCAUGCUUUACACAUGCCAGUCGAACGGUAGCAGGCCGCAAGGUGCUGACGAGUGGCGAACGGGUGAGUAAUGCAUCGGAACGUGCCCAGUCGUGGGGGAUAACUACUCGAAAGAGUAGCUAAUACCGCAUACGAUCUAUGGAUGAAAGCGGGGGACCGUAAGGCCUCGCGCGAUUGGAGCGGCCGAUGUCAGAUUAGGUAGUUGGUGGGGUAAAGGCUCACCAAGCCAACGAUCUGUAGCUGGUCUGAGAGGACGACCAGCCACACUGGGACUGAGACACGGCCCAGACUCCUACGGGAGGCAGCAGUGGGGAAUUUUGGACAAUGGGCGCAAGCCUGAUCCAGCAAUGCCGCGUGCAGGAAGAAGGCCUUCGGGUUGUAAACUGCUUUUGUACGGAACGAAACGGCUCUGGUUAAUACCCGGGGCUAAUGACGGUACCGUAAGAAUAAGCACCGGCUAACUACGUG
rnacentral:rRNA from 1 species